GCGGUGGGCCAUACCCCAGCUCCGCUGCCACCUACACAACAGCACACCAGCACAGACACUCACUUCUCCAUUGGGUCCAAAGGACAUGUACACAGGAGGACACCUAGUUCCGAAUGACCCUUGGGGAUCGGGAGUCCUUCAUUCAGGAAGUAUGAAGACAUCCCUGAAAGAUGUUGAAAUGUUAUCAGGGAGACUCAUUUGCAGCAGAUGUGAGCCUGUAGUGCUGUGCUUGCGUUGCGUGUGCUCACAGCAAUCACUGUCAGCUCGUUGAGGAAGGCCAGCAGCGGUGUCAGUGCGUGUGGUGAGGUGUGACCCUGGUGUUGUGAAGAAGCCGUGCCUGACACCAUCUCGGCCUGAUUCACAACACCAGCUGCCCCACGCCACCCUGGAGAAGGGAGAAGGGAGUGAGUGCCUCUUCUAACAGCUCCCACAUCCUCCACAACUCUGGAUCUGGACGCUUCACCAGCUGCAAAAGAAACAAGCAGAAGACAUUAGUUUGCUAGAGGAUAUUUUUACCCUUACCCCCAUAUGGAAAUGUGUGUAUACAUGUCUCUCUGUACAUGUUUGUGUGUGUGUGUGUCCAGUCACAUAACUUAUUUUCAGUUAUACAGAGGAAAAUAUAUUAAAUUCCUUCUACCAUUGGCUGGAGUCUUCCAACAGUGGCAAAUCCACAACCAAGUCUAAUUAACACAAUACAACAUGACUGGAUACAACAGCACUGCACAAUUGGCUUAAAAAGUAUGAGUUUACAGAUUUACUUCAAAUUGUUGUAUAUCCCCUUUCAUUAUCAGUUCUCCGCUGAUGGCACUUCAUUGCAGAAAGUAAACUCAAAUCUAAAGCACACAUUUGUCAAAUCAGGCCAAUAUAGUCAAAUCAGGCCAAUAUACGCUUUGAUCUCUGGCAACCCUUAAUCUUGUGAAUAAACUUCCACCUUUAAUUACUAUAUGGGUAAAGCUAAUUUUCCUCAUCGUAAAUCUGAAUUACUUAUGGCUCGUCUUGCUCCACCCAUUUCCCUCACUGUCUCUCUCUCUCUCUCUCUCUGCUAAUCCCUUCUGUGAUGAAAAAGUCACACAAGCACAUAAUGUCCGGGCAAAACAUUUCUCUUAAUCCUCUUUUAUCAGCUCUGUUGCCCUUUCUGCUCAAUCUAAUUGCAACAAAGCCCACAUCAGGACUUUUGUGCCAAGAACUUCUUUUAGGGUUUCAAUUAAAGCAGCUGGGCAGCGGGUGAGGUGCUUGGACAUCUGCCAGUGUCCUUCAGAUGAAGAAUGUCACUGCACUUAAUUGGCAGGAGCACAGUCUGCCAUGCCAGAAGAGACACAGAGAGAGAGAAGAAAAACACUGAAGACAUGCGUAGCAGGAACUAUGGCUAUGUCUGCCCCCUAUUAAACCUCCUGUCAGGGACAACAAUAGAAGGCCGCACAUCAGCACUGCCCCCUGGUGUUGGGUGGAGGGCGCCCACUAGUAAAACAGAUGGCCUGUGAAAGGUUAAGUUACUGCUACCUUGGCUAUGGCUCUAUAGUAUGUUUCAAUGGCUUCCACUGACAACGUUCUGGGUUUAAAAAUCAUUAUAUCUCCCCUAAGGCAUUACAAGAGCCACAUAAUCUUACCGUGCAAAGUUCAUACAAUCAUCUGCAUCUUUUUUAUUUGAAACAGAUAUCUGCUUCUCAUUGUUUUUUAGCUUUUUUGUCUCAAUACUUCUGUAAGACUGUAUAUGUACUGUAUACUGUACCCUUACACAUAGGAUGACAUCUUCAUAUCUUAGCCAUAAUCUUCUUGUGAUGUGUUGUAUAAUUUCACCACAAAUCACCACAGCCAUUUUGUGCUGUUUCACAGCGUGACAUGUGCCAUGUAUAUAUUUGGU